UACGUAGGGGGCAAGCGUUGUCCGGAUUUAUUGGGCGUAAAGAGCGUGUAGGCGGCUUCACAGGUCUGCUGUGAAAACUCGAGGCUCAACCUCGAGCUGUCGGUGGAAACCGUGGGGCUAGAGUCCGGAAGAGGAGAGUGGAAUUCCCGGUGUAGCGGUGAAAUGCGCAGAUAUCGGGAAGAACACCCGUGGCGAAGGCGGCUCUCUGGGACGGUACUGACGCUGAGACGCGAAAGCGUGGGGAGCAAACAGGG
rnacentral:rRNA from 1 species